CGGGGGACCUUCGGGCCUCGCGCUGAUGGAUGAGCCUACGUCGGAUUAGCUUGUUGGUGAGGUAAAAGCUCACCAAGGCACGAUCCGUAGCUGGUCUGAGAGGAUGAUCAGCCACACUGGGACUGAGACACGGCCCAG
rnacentral:rRNA from 1 species